ACGUGUCACAAUUUCAUAACAUAAAGUUAUCCUAAUCAAAGUGUUUUGCAGCGAAAACGUGUGAGAUAUACAUAUGAAGAUGUAUACUCAAGGUUACAUUUCUUGAAAUGUCAAAGGAACACCCGCUCAACAUCAUUCCAUUCCAUCAGUUGCUCAACCUGCACAUUUAGAAAUACAUGCAGGGCUGAGUAUAAAAAUACUCAGUGGACAUAGCCGAAAAUACAUU
rnacentral:lncRNA from 1 species